rnacentral:pre_miRNA from 1 species
GUAUGCCAGUGUAUAAAUGGUGCUCAGCACCAAGGACAGUCCUAUAUGCCAGUGUAGAUGGGGUUCAGCACCAAGGACAGGCCUGCAUGCCU